rnacentral:rRNA from 1 species
GCUUAACACAUGCAAGUCGAACGGGUGUCGCAAGACAUCAGUGGCAGACGGGUGAGUAACACGUGGGAACCUUCCUAGGGGUACGGAACAACUCAGGGAAACUUGAGCUAAUACCGUAUACGUCCGUGAGGAGAAAGAUUUAUCGCCCUUAGACGGGCCCGCGUCGGAUUAGCUAGUUGGUGGGGUAACGGCCUACCAAGGCGACGAUCCGUAGCUGAUCUGAGAGGAUGAUCAGCCACACUGGGACUGAGAUACGGCCCAGACUCCUACGGGAGGCAGCAGUGGGGAAUCUUGGACAAUGGGCGCAAGCCUGAUCCAGCCAUGCCGCGUGAGUGAAGAAGGCCUUAGGGUUGUAAAGCUCUUUUACCAGGGACGAUAAUGACGGUACCUGGAGAAUAAGCCCCGGCAAACUUCGUGCCAGCAGCCGCGGUAAUACGAAGGGGGCUAGCGUUGUUCGGAAUUACUGGGCGUAAAGCGCACGUAGGCGGGUCGUUAAGUCAGGGGUGAAAUCCCGGAGCUCAACUCCGGAACUGCCUUUGAUACUGGCGAUCUAGAGGUCGAGAGAGGUGAGUGGAAUUCCGAGUGUAGAGGUGAAAUUCGUAGAUAUUCGGAAGAACACCAGUGGCGAAGGCGGCUCACUGGCUCGAUACUGACGCUGAGGUGCGAAAGCGUGGGGAGC